AACACUGUUAACCUGCGGUACCUGCGGAGGGAUCAUUACAAGUGACCCCGGUCUAACCACCGGGAUGUUCAUAACCCUUUGUUGUCCGACUCUGUUGCCUCCGGGGCGACCCUGCCUUCGGGCGGGGGCUCCGGGUGGACACUUCAAACUCUUGCGUAACUUUGCAGUCUGAGUAAACUUAAUUAAUAAAUUAAAACUUUUAACAAUGGAUCU
rnacentral:misc_RNA from 1 species